GACGAACGCUGGCGGCGUGCCUAAUACAUGCAAGUCGAACGAGUGGCGGACGGGUGAGUAACGCUUGGGAAUCCAGCUUCUGGAGGGGGAUAACUACGGGAAACCGUAGCUAAUAACGCGUACCAGAGGAUGCGGAUAGGUGGGAUUAGGGAGUUGGUGAGGUAUAGGCCCACCAAGCCGACGCACGCUAGCUGGUCAGAGAGGAGGAUCGGCCACACUGGGACUGAGACACGGCCCAGACUCCGACGGGAGGCAGCAGUGGGGAAUAUGUGGCAAUGGGGGAAAGCGUGACGCAGCCAUGCCGCGUGAGUGAAGAAGGCCUUCGGGUUGUAAAGUUCGUUCGGUAGCGAGGCGUUAACUACAGAAGAAGCACCGGCUAACUCCGUGCCAGCAGCCGCGGUAAUUC
rnacentral:rRNA from 1 species